UACAGAGGUGGCAAGCGUUGUUCGGAAUUACUGGGCGUAAAGGGCGCGUAGGCGGCCUUCUUAGUCGGACGUGAAAUCCCCGGGCUUAACUCGGGAACUGCGUCCGAUACUGGUUGGCUUGAGUUCGGGAGAGGGAUGUGGAAUUCCAGGUGUAGCGGUGAAAUGCGUAGAUAUCUGGAGGAACACCGGUGGCGAAGGCGGCAUCCUGGACCGAAACUGACGCUGAGGCGCGAAAGCCAGGGGAGCAAACGGGAUUAGAAACCCCCGUAGUCC
rnacentral:rRNA from 1 species